rnacentral:rRNA from 1 species
AACGAACGCUGGCGGCAGGCUUAACACAUGCAAGUUGAACGUGAUUUGCUGGGUGCUUGCACCGAGCAAUGAAAGUAGCGCACUGGUGAGUAACACGUGGGAACGUACCUUUGGUGGGGAACAACAGCUGGAAACGGCAGCUAAGACCGCAUAGGCAUACAUGACGCAUGUCGAGUAUGUUAAAUAUCCCACGGGAUAGCACAGGGAUGGGCUUAUGACGCAUUAGCUAGCUGGUGAGGUAGAGGCUCACCAGGGCGACGAUGCGUAGCCGGCCUGAGAGGGUGGACGGCCACACUGGGACUGAGACACGGCCCAG